rnacentral:rRNA from 1 species
GUGAGGAAUAUUGGUCAAUGGGCGAGAGCCUGAACCAGCCAUGCCGCGUGCAGGAAGAAUGCCCUAUGGGUUGUAAACUGCUUUUAUUUGGGAAUAAACCUUUCUACGUGUAGAAAGCUGAAGGUACUAAAUGAAUAAGCACCGGCUAACUCCGUGCCAGCAGCCGCGGUAAUACGGAGGGUGCAAGCGUUAUCCGGAAUCAUUGGGUUUAAAGGGUCCGCAGGCGGAUUAAUAAGUCAGUGGUGAAAUCUCAUAGCUUAACUAUGAAACUGCCAUUGAUACUGUUAGUCUUGAAUAUGGUCGAUGUGGGCGGAAUAUGACAUGUAGCGGUGAAAUGCUUAGAUAUGUUAUAGAACACCGAUAGCGAAGGCAGCUCACAAGGCCAUUAUUGACGCUCAUGGACGAAAGCGUGGGGAGCAAACAGGAUUAGAAACCUCGGUAGUCC